rnacentral:rRNA from 1 species
GAUGAACGCUGGCGGCGUGCCUAAUACAUGCAAGUCGAGCGAACAGACGAGGAGCUUGCUCCUUUGACGUUAGCGGCGGACGGGUGAGUAACACGUAGGUAACCUACCUAUAAGACUGGGAUAACUUCGGGAAACCGGAGCUAAUACCGGAUAAUAUUUCGAACCGCAUGGUUCGAUAGUGAAAGAUGGCUUUGCUAUCACUUAUAGCUGGACCUGCGCCGUAUUAGCUAGUUGUUAAGGUAACGGCUUACCAAGGCAACGAUACGUAGCCGACCUGAGAGGGUGAUCGGCCACACUGGAACUGAGACACGGUCCAGACUCCGACGGGAGGCAGCAGGAGGGAAUCUUCCGCAAUGGGCGAAAGCCUGACGGAGCAACGCCGCGUGAGUGAUGAAGGUCUUCGGAUCGUAAAACGCUGUUAUUAGGGAAGAACAAACGUGUAAGUAACUGUGCACGUCUGGACGGUACCUAAUCAGAAAGCCACGGCUAACUACGG